AAUGAACGCUGGCGGCAUGCCUUACACAUGCAAGUCGAACGGCAGCAUGACCUAGCUUGCUAGGUUGAUGGCGAGUGGCGAACGGGUGAGUAAUGCAUCGGAACGUGCCUUUUAGUGGGGGAUAACGUAGCGAAAGUUACGCUAAUACCGCAUAUUCUCUGGGGAGGAAAGCAGGGGACCUUCGGGCCUUGCGCUAGAAGAGCGGCCGAUGUCGGAUUAGCUAGUUGGUGAGGUAAAGGCUCACCAAGGCAACGAUCCGUAGCGGGUCUGAGAGGAUGAUCCGCCACACUGGGACUGAGACACGGCCCAGACUCCUACGGGAGGCAGCAGUGGGGAAUUUUGGACAAAGGGCGCAAGCCUGAUCCAGCCAUGCCGCGUGAGUGAAGAAGGCCUUCGGGUUGUAAAGCUCUUUCGGCUGGGAAGAAAUCGCACCCUCUAAUACAGGGUGUGGAUGACGGUACCAGCAGAAGAAGCACCGGCUAACUACGUG
rnacentral:rRNA from 1 species